rfam:Acyrthosiphon pisum strain LSR1 Contig25987, whole genome shotgun sequence.
AAAAAGGCCCUUAUCAGGGCCACCAUAUUUUUUUUUCGUAACUCUC